rnacentral:tRNA from 1 species
AAUGAAGUGUCUGAAUAAAGAGCUAUUUUGAUAGAGUAGAAAAUGUGAAAUUUCACCUUCAUUA